rnacentral:rRNA from 1 species
UACGUAGGUGGCAAGCGUUGUCCGGAUUUACUGGGCGUAAAGAGCGCGCAGGCGGUCGUUCAAGUCGAGUGUGAAAGCCCCCGGCUCAACUGGGGAGGGUCACUCGAUACUGAUCGACUCGAAGGCAGAAGAGGGAAGCGGAAUUCCCGGUGUAGUGGUGAAAUGCGCAGAUAUCAGGAGGAACACCGGUGGCGAAGGCGGGACUCUGGGCCGAUACUGACGCUGAGGAGCGAAAGCGUGGGGAGCAAACAGG